UACGUAGGGGGGCAAGCGUUGUCCGGAAUCAUUGGGCGUAAAGCGCGUGUAGGCGGUCCGGUAAGUCCGCUGUGAAAGUCGGGGGCUCAACCCUCGGAUGCCGGUGGAUACUGUCGGGCUUGAGUACGGAAGAGGCGAGUGGAAUUCCUGGUGUAGCGGUGAAAUGCGCAGAUAUCAAGGAGGAACACCAAUUGCGAAGGCAGCUCGCUGGGACGUUACUGACGCUGAGACGCGAAAGCGUGGGAGCAACAGG
rnacentral:rRNA from 1 species